rnacentral:rRNA from 1 species
GAUGAACGCUAGCGGCAGGCCUAAUACAUGCAAGUCGAGGGGUAUGGGUUGCUUGCAACCCAGAGACCGGCGCACGGGUGCGUAACGCGUAUGCAAUCUACCUUAAUCAGGGGGAUAGCCCGGAGAAAUCCGGAUUAACACCGCAUAACAUUAUUUAGUGGCAUCACUGAAUAAUCAAAUAUUUAUAGGAUUAAGAUGAGCAUGCGUGACAUUAGUUAGUUGGUGAGGUAACGGCUCACCAAGACCACGAUGUCUAGGGGAUCUGAGAGGAUGACCCCCCA